GCACAAUAACAGAUCCCACUCAGAGCUAUUGCAAACUCAAGUACUUGGGAGAGUUUUGCAUCUCACAUCGCAGAGGGAGCAUACUUCUGCAAUAGCAUCAUUGCUUCUCAAAUUGGGUAUUUGAGAGACUUCCUAAUGACCUCAUAGCAGCACAUGUGACCACUAAGUCAUCUUCUCAAAGGACCAGGAAUAACAUCAACAGACCCUGUUUUGGUUGUGCACAGGACAGCUUUCCUCAGCACAAGCAGGUUCCUAAACAGCGAGGAAGCAGAAAGGAGCAGGACCCAGCUCAGGCCAGAGCUGGCAUCGUGAUUGUUUCUCCAGCAGAUUCUGCUUGGCCUUGGAAAAGAUACAGCCAAUUAAAAGAUGAAGACUCAUUAGCACAUACUAAAUUCCACAUACAAAUUUAGACACAAAAGCUUGUUUAUCCCAAUGCAGGCCAAAUUCAUUGGGUUUAAAGGCAUCUAUAUGAUAAUGUGAAUCCCAGAAGUAUUCCAAAGACAUUCCAAGAGAUAAGAGGUGAACUCAAAAAACAUGAAAUAAUUACUUGAAAGGGUUUCCAAUUUUUUUUUUUUCUCCCAGUGCUUAAAAAUAACCCGCUAUGCUGAGCAGCAAAGCAGGAAUUAGGAAUUUAUAGGUGAUGAACUGGUGAGUUGAUCACAUUGGGAUGGGGAAGUUGUCUUUUGCUGACCCCAAGGAAGGUGGCACUGGGUGAAAUAAAUGAGUGAACACCUGUAAUUAUGUUAACACUGAGGUGAAGGCAACUACACAAACAGCUCAAGCCAUACUGAUGGUGUUGAACACCUGAGGAGAUCCCUCCUCUGUACCCAGCACAAGGCUUCUGCAGAGGAAAUGGGACAAAAUCCCACUGUGGAGCUGUCAGGAGAUCUGCACCAGACAACUUCCUCAGUUACCAACAGUGAUAUGGGAACACACAUCCAAGCAAGAACAAGGAACAUCAUCAAAUAGCAACCAAGAGCUUCUUCUGCCAGGUGUCUCCUGCAGCAGCAGCCCACCAAACCUCCCGUCCUUCCCCAGGGCUCUGCUCCAUGGGCCUUACAUUCCUUGCCUCCCACCCAGCCCAGCUAUGGCAGCACCUCCACCUGCCCAAUCCCAGGAAGGUUCCAGCAGGAUCUGGUGAUCCUGGGAGCACCAACAGCUCCUGUCACACACGACCAGGAUAUCACCUAAGUGGCCUUGGGCUAAACACAGACACAGUUGAGGAACACAGGAGGCUAGACCUGCACAAUGUUAAAGCUUUUUAUUCUUUCAGUGAGAGGUGGUGAAGGCCAACUCCUGCCUUCACCUUUCCAGGAACUUUUGAUGGAACACAGAAGCCUGCUGUGAAAGUGCUCUGUUUACACCCUGCAGCCCUGUCCUGUCUUUACCCAGAGUGAGUGUGUUCACUCCCACUACCCCAUGAAACAUCUGCUCAGCCCAGCUCUGCUGGAAUCGUCCUUCCACUGCAAAGAAAUCCACUUCCAGCCAUAAACCUGGGAAAAGAGGGAAGUGGGGCAGAGUUUAGCAUGAGGAGGAGGGCAGUUUGAGACAUGACAUCUUCCAAGAAAUGCUGACAAACCACCUCUACAUGCCAGGUGCUGACUAGAGCUGCUCUGCAGGGUACCAGAAGGCUCAGAGCUGACAAGACAGAGCAUGUGGUGACAUUACAGACACCUGAUGUGGGACACACCCUUCCCAAGAGGUGCAAAACAAAGGCUGCAAGGGGAGCACUUACCUUCCACCACAUUCCGUGCCAAGGACGUUUUUCCUGCUCUGAAGGGAGAUGAUCUUCGUCCUCAAGAGGGCAAGUACCAGAGCAGAAGUUUACCUCUCAGGCACUUCACAAAUCACCAGGCCAACCUCUGGCCCAGCCAUGGGACAGAUACCUUCUCAUGUUCCCAGAUGAUAAAGUUCUGCAGCUGUGCCACACUCUCUCUUCCUGGGCACCCAGGCAGCUGCUCAGCAAAGCCCUGUCCUGCUGGGACUCAGGAGCAGAGGCCUCCACAGCUCCUCUCCCAGGAGUCAGAAUGGCUGGGGAGGUGGACACGGAGGAACAAUGACUCUACCCCAGCUCCAAAAAUCUCUCUCAGAGCUUUAAUGUUACCAGGAAAGCUCCAAACAGGAGCAGCCUCACAUUUGCCCUUUGUUUGAACAACAGGGUCCCCAUCGUAGGCUGCUUCAAAAGUGAGGAGGGGUAACCCCAGGUCAGAAGCAGGGCAGUGAGCUCAGCUUCAGUUGCUGCAGUGACAAAGGCCCAGAGAAGACGUCACCCAGAGGACUGAGCUGCUGGCACAGAGCAGUGCUCAGCAAGGACACACUUGUAAACACCCUCCCUGGCCAUCAACGCUGACACAGCCACGAGAAAGGGGCAGAGAAAACCAUUAUGUGCAAACAGACAUCCCUCCCUAUCCCUGGACACCGGGACCAGCCCAAGCAGGACAUCUCCAGCCUUCCUCUUGUCUGCCUGUUGAGCCAAAAACCCUCUGGCAUCCUGCUGCAGACGAGAAUCACUGCCACGUUAAGGAAGGGCUCAACUCCCAUAAAGCAGAAAAAAAGCUCUGGGGUUUUGACCCCUAAUCCCUGGAAGCAGUUGGUAUAUUCAGCAGGCACAUGUCCUCUUUCAAAGCUGGCCUUUCUUCUUGAAGCACUAGGUAGUAUCUAACAUCCUGAGCAUUAUUUUUCACAUGUUCCUCCCCACCACAGCUCUUUCUGCCCAUCAUCCCUGUCAGGAGUUUGGAGCAAGGACACGGUGUAAAGUGUCCUGACAAGCAGAGCUACACAGGUCCUGGGACUGCUGGGGACAAAGUCCUGCUGUCUCUCUUACAGUGAUACUUCCCCACAAUUUCUUCCUCUCUCCCAGAAGUUUCCCAGAUAAAUCUGUGUUGUCAUAUCACAUCUCAAAACUACAAGCUGUGGGGAUCUGAGGAGACCAAUGUCUGAGUAGUGAUUCCACAUCCAGCUCAGAGAAAAGCUAAUCAGCAUCCUUCACCAGAGAUUUUAUUGCAGACACAGAAAACAACAGCAGAAAAACCAAAGAAAACCAUAAGCACUGGCUGCAAGCUUCAUCAAGGAGGAACAGCACGAGGGAAGGGAGAGAUUCAGCACCAGCCGUGUGAUUUUCCCAGCAAGGGACACCAACCCAACUGAAUGGGCAGAGCUCAGCUUGUGGCAGCAAUGCCACUACAGCUCCUCCCCUGCAGCACACAGAGACAGACCUCUGCAAAAACAAGUGGUGCAUGGAAAAACCCCUGAAGCCCUUUACAGCUGCUGCUCCAGGACCCUCAGGCCACACAACCCCAAACCUGACCUCUGCACUUUGGACCAGGGCGAGCACAUGGAGAGCAGCUGGCAACAGUGAUCCUCACAUUUCUGUGAUUCCUCAGCAAGGACCCUCAUCUUCAAAUAACCAGACCACGCAGAAGCCCAUGAUCCCAAGCCCUUUUGGCUGCCCUUUCUGGCAUGGAAACAAAAGGCAGGAGCACUUCAGAUGUGCAAGAUACCAAAGGGCCCCUCCACUAGUGAGAAUUUGUAACCCACCCAAGGACACUGCUGCUCAUUCACAACACCAGAUUCAUCCUAGACAAGGACUGGUGUGCACUCUAACAGGAGCACAACAUAAUCUCCAGAGCAGACAGCAGUGCCAAGAUGAGGACCAGACCACAGGAGCUCUCCUUUUCACAAAGAGGCCUUGGCUAGGGAAGCUUCCACCUCCUCAGCAGCUCUUUCCAUCUCAGCCAUUUCCCUUCCAAGCAAGGCUUCCUGGCCGGAGCAAGC
ensembl:lncRNA